rnacentral:lncRNA from 1 species
UUUUAUUAGCUCAUCAGGCAAACUCUGAAUUUUGGGACCAAGCUAAACACCAGACAUAAAUUUUUGGCUUGAAACCAAAUGAAACUACAUGAUUUUACCAAAAAAAUUACACGUGAUUUGGCUACAAUAGAAACAACCACAACUUGCCCAUAUAUUAGUCACAAGCCCACAACCUUGAUUUGGUCAUUUGGCCAUGCAUGCGAAUAUUUAGGUAGUUCGAGUAGCGGACGAACCUGCAUAUGAGUUCCCUCUACAGAGACUCGGUUCAGGUCAUCUUCGGUUAUGUUUCACCACGCUCUUCUUGUUGUUUAUCUUUCUUUUGUUCGAACCCCCUAUAUGGCCAAAAUAUUAACUUGAUUCAUAUUUUGAUCCCAAGAAACCUACUUCCAAUAAUAUAUCUGAGACUCGAACUCCUUAAACACCAAAUUCCUAAAGCAAAACGAAAGCUUUCAACUCAUGAACACAAAUACUUCGUAGUAUUAGCCUUGUAAGGUUUUUACAGGUCAAUAUUAUUCUACAAAUGAGUAGGCAGAGCUCCCGAUGGUUACUCAAGAAUAAACAGAUACUCCAUACGAAUUAAAAGCUUCCAACUCAUGCACAAAGUAUAUACUUACAAAAUCUGAAAGAUCGGUAUGGUCGGCUAGAGGGGGGGUGAAUAGGCGACUAACAAAUUUUAAUCUUUUUUUUUCUUUUUCUUUUCUAGAAAGAUACAAACACUUAACCUAGGGUUUACUAAAUUCUCUAAAGAUAAUGCAACCCUAGGAUGAAAUGCAAUAGCCGAAGCAACUAGAUAACAAGAAUGUAAAGGGUAAGAAUGGAUACCACACGAGAGACGAAGAUUUCACCGGAAUUCCAUCGAUUGGGGUAGGUGUACGUCUCCGUUUGGAGGAGUGUUCUACCACAAAGGUAGAGACGUCAUAAAGGCUCACUCUAUUCUCCUCUCACGGCACCACAAAGGUGAGCGAGCUCCACUAAUGGCUUCCUUGAAGGCGAAGACCGAACAUUUACAAACUUGACCGGGGCUAGCUCCACAACUCAAUUGAAGACUUCCAAUCCAAUCCUCAAGCUCCACAAUCCCCAAGGGAAGAGCUCAAGGCAACCACUUCCGUCUAGGGCUCUCAAAUGCCCAAGAGAAAUAAAAUCCACAAGAGAAACAAGGGGAAUCAACUUUGUGACUUGGUGAAACCCUAGAUCUAGGUCUUCUCGUCCAAUCCUCAAAGAAUCAACAAGGGGGAAGCUUUAUGGAGGGAGAUCUAGUAGAAUGAAGCUUAGGGAGUUCUUGGGAGAGAGGGGGCUGUUCUUUUCAUCGUGCUCGGGCAGAAACGGUUGGGGACGAAGGGGUAUAUAUUGGACUCCCCAAAAUCUAAGCGUUAUGCAGUGCGAGUUCCAGGGGCGGAACUUCCGCUGGUCAUCGGAAGUUCUAGGUGACAGGAAGUUCCGGCUCUGUUCCAGUUCGACUUUCGGAAAUCCACAAUGGAUUCCAGUAACGUUGCG